GAGAGUCUGGCUGGAGGCCAAACAACACAAAACCAGCACACUUAACAAAAGUAUAACCAAUGACCCUCACAGAGUCCACUUAACUCCCCUCCACCAGAGCAGGUGCUGGUAUCUACAGCUGAGAGACCUGAAGAUGGAUCACAUCACAGGACUCCUUGCAGACGUUCCCCAGUACCAGCCCAGAGCCUGGUAGCACUGUUGGGUGGCUAGACCAGUAUUCUAAGUGAAGUAACUCAGAAAUGGAAAACCAAACAUCAUAUGUUCUCACUCAUAAGUAGGAGCUAAGCUAUGAGAACACAAAGACUUGUCCACGCUGAGUUUAUAGCAACUGUCAAUUAUUAUGGUUCAGAUUUUCCUACCCCAGCGUGACUUUCCAAAGAGGCUUCUGCUCAUGGAUUUCUGCUCCAGGAAGAUGCAACAGGAGGGUCCUCACCAGAUGGCUGAGCAGAUGCAGGUGCUGUGCCUCUGGACUGCCUAACCUCCAGAACCGAUACAUGUGCAGGAUGUGCAGGUUUGUUACACAGUAUGAAGCAUGUCUUUAGGACUUUCUGUGCCAUCUGGUAUCCAUCAAGGGGAGAGUCCCAAACUGCACUGGAAGGCAUCUUCCAGAUGGUGGCGGGCGCUAAAGAUCAGCCGUGUGGGUGUGAGCUUCCCAUGCCUGUGGAGAAGCAGCAAUUGAAUUGCUCAUCUGGAAUGAAGUUUCGUGGAUUUUUUUUUUUUUUGAACAGAUCACUGACUACUUCCAAUAUGCAAUACCAAGUAAAGACUGCAAAUGACUGUGCCACAGGGAGGAAAAGCAGUCAACCUGUCUUUAGGGACCUGUUCAAAUUUCUGGUAUCUCAGUGGAUGUUGAUUUCUGACAUAAAGCCAUUUGUGCACAUGAGGAAGAUAUUGUAGGAGGCAUUUGCUGUGAGCCAGUGUUUGGUCUUUAGCUGAAACAGACAUAUAGCCAUAAACCACCAACCAGAAAGAAAUAAGACACAAUUCCUCUUCUGGUGGGCCACGUAAAGGAAGUUGUCAUGUUCCAACUUAAUGUGUGGGUUGAGAGGGAUCUGCACAAAUGAGCGUCUUCGGGGAGAAAAAUAUAUCCCAGUCUGCGUGGUCACGGGGAGCUUCCUGGGCAAGCAACAUCUAGACUGGUGUUUGACCAAACAACUGGGCACCAUACCCCAGCCAAGUCAGCAUAUAAUGUUAACCAUCACAGUAAGAAACAUGUCAAAAAGUGGUAAGACAGCAAGAAUUGGUGGUCUGGGCUGGAUUCCAGAGAACCUGGACUGUGCUUAUGAAGCACCACUGCCCCGUAGACCUGGGAUAAUAAACACUGAUGUCUAAAGGGACCAGGCAGGAACUCCUUCAUAGAUGAAUGCUUGGCGUUAUUCAUUACCCAGUCUUGAGGGACUCACUGGUGAGCUCGGGGCUCAGGGAGUAGACCUGACUGGGGAGCUAAGUGAUGUCGUGUGACUCUCUAUGCCCCCUUGCCACCAGCGUGAGCCAUCUCCAGGGGCUCUCAAACCGAUAGAAGACCUUGGGGUGUGGGAAAACAGCCCCAGAGCUUCUAAGCUGAGCAGAUUGUUCCUAGUGAGGAAGGUCUUGUCCCGUCUGUUCCAAGCUAUUUGUCCAUGUAAAACUGUCAACGUUCCAAGCCACUGACUGACAGGGUAAGAAGAGUGAGUCUCAAGAGAGUGAGGAACGGUGAAUGUUUGGCAGCCUCUGCGUGUGCUCAUGGAAGAGACAGUGACAGAAAUUAUGUAAUGAAAAAAUGUAGCACAAGCCUUAUGAAUUUUUACUUUUCACUCCAUGAGAUUCCCAUGUCAAAAGACCUAUUCUACACAAAAUAAAGUUCUCUA
rnacentral:lncRNA from 1 species